CCUAUUGAGUGUUAUAUCAAAUGAUAGUAGAAGUAAAGUUAUACUUUGAGGUCAGACACAUUGAUGUAGGAA
rnacentral:ncRNA from 1 species